rnacentral:piRNA from 1 species
UNCCACCUCAUGAGGAACACUAGGAGCCAC